GAGAAAACAAUCUGCUAGCUUGGGCGGUGACCGAGAGGAAGAAAAACAAGGCAGCCUUCUUCCUUCCUUUCUUUCUUUCUAAAAUGAGCUGAGGGAGUGGAACUAAGUGCGAGGAGAGAAAAUUGGUUAACCUCAUCAGCUGCUAAACAUAAUCAAGCAAACGGGAGGGAUAGCUGGUACAGACUUGAGGGAACAAAGCUGGAAAAAAAAUCUGAUCCAUCUGCAAUUCUUAACUCUUAAAGGCAAGAGGAAGUAGCCGUGAACCGGGAAACCAACUCGAGACUCGAGAGUAGUCAUUUGAAUCUUUGGAGUUGGAGAUGGAAAAGUGAUUGGAUGGAAUUGGAACGUUGUUUUGGGAAAUUCCAUCACUAUGUGUAUAUAUUGGAGUCACGUUUUCUUUUGUAUUUUAAGAUGGUUGAAUCUUCUGUUUUGAGUUGAUGUAAUAUUAAGAAUGGAUGUUUAGAACGUGUA